UGACAAGCUCAGAUGAGCAGGCUGACUGAAGCUGGUGGGCAGGAUGGCAGAUCACAAAAGCUUUAACCUUAGCAAAUUGGACCAAGAUGAAAGUUCAGAGGUAGAACUGCCGCUCACGGUGCACGUGGACAGUAUCCGUCCACUUAGCACCAAGGAUGCAGAGGAGAUAGAAAUGACAGGCCUGGAUGCUGAUUCUGACUCAGACAUUUUUGAAGCAUUUGGCUCCAAGGCAGAGGAGUCAGACUCUUCUUAUACAGAAGUUGCCCCACCUGUCCCGCUUCGAGUCCUGUCUGACAUGCCCAGUCGCAACAACAGGCGGAAUCGGGGGACAGUCCUAUCAGUGUACCUGGGUUCUGAGUUCCGGAAUCAGCUAACAACUACUGAUGAGCAUCAAUCAACACGCUCAGACCAAAGACAAAACACACGCCCCGCGAAUACUGACCAGAAACAGCGCAAUGAAGCAGACAAAGAGGACGAAGGAAUGCUGAAGGCCGUACAGAGUGUUCUGCGCGAGGAGGGGAUGGGCGCUCUUCGAACAAUGCCCAUCAGCCUCAGCGAGAAGAGAGAGCUGAAGAGGCAGAUGUCUGUAGAAACACCAGGCAUCACUCAUCAGAUCCUCUUCCGCAGCAGAGUGCAUUUCAAAACCGUGAGACACAUAGACACACUCUCGCGAGCUCUGCAUCCGUCAUGCUGUACUGCCACGUAGAUGCAAGUGUGCGUGUCUGUGUGUGUGUGUGUUUACUAGCGUGUCUCUGAGGGCUUGCGGGAUGCACAGCUCUGGAGGGCGGCACUAAAGAGGGUGGGCGCCCGUUUCGGCUCGGGGGUUCUGU
ensembl:lncRNA